CUAUGUAGGAUUACUAGACGAGAGCCUCAAAGCAACUGACUCUCGGGUAUGUGUAUACAUAGGGUGUCCUGUGUAGAUUCAUGGAGGAGAACAGAGAAAGGAGGGUGAGCUGAAAAGCCGUACUCGGCAGCAUAUGCAGAUAAUCGGUACAAAGCCUUUCGUUCAAUGACAAAGGAAAGCCCCAGGCUAGCUCUAUAGUCUAUGACAGUCUUCGUAUAUUAUUAUUAUUAUUAUUAUUAUUAUUAUUAUUAUUAUUAUUAUUAUUAUUAUUAUUAUUAUUAUACAGAGGAUAGUACUAACCACCUUCUUUUCGAUUUUAAAUUUUACCAAAAUUUUAUAUUACACGUUAUCCCAAAUAUGAUAGUAUGUAUAAUCAAUUCCCGCAUCAGAAUAGACAAUUUCAAUGUCAAGCUCGCGAUUCUUGCGACAUGCAUGAAGCUUAGGAAGAAAAAUAUUAAAUUGAAUUUUCUUGAUCAGAAAUUUUUAUUUAAAAACAUAUUUUUCUAUAAGAAAAAUAAGGGAACGCAUGAACGCAACCUUACACGGUAAACUUGCCGCAAGCUUUACUGCAAGCUUCAAUAAUGUCCCACCUGACCGAAAGCUGGCAUCACAGAAAAUUAAAAGGCAUUAAAAUAAGCUGCAACGCUUAUUAUUUUAAUGCCUUUUAAUUUUCUGUAAUGAUAAGCUUACCGAAAAAUUGCAGUGUAAGGUUACUGCAAGAUUGUUAAUUAAUUCUACCGAAAGAUUGCAGUGCAAGGUUACAGCAAGAUUGCUCAGUAAGCUUGCUCAGUAAGCUUGUAGCAAAGUUGCUAAAUAACCUUGCUUUGAGCCUAAAAAAAUUUUUUUUUAAAUGUUUCGUCUAAUUUAGAUAAUUUUAUUAUAUAAAUUAGACGAAAUAUUAAAAAAAAUUUAAGUUUAAAGCAAGGUUAUUUAGCAACCUUGCACCAAACUUGCUACAAGCUUACCAUGUAAGUUUAAAAUGCCACUUUCAAAUAGUAGAACAAAUGAAUGGCUUCUUCAACCAGCCGUCAGGUAACCUGAAAGCACCACGUUUGUACCUUCGGAAUAAAAAAUAUUGUAAGUAACAUGGCUCCAAAGGCAGCCAAUUGUUUACGUUGACGUUUGCUAGCACACAUUCACGUCUCGGGCUGCAAAUACCAACGUAAACAAUGGCUGCUUUUAGACCCUUGUUGCUCAAUAUAUACUACUUAAUUCUUCACAUUGAGAAAAAAAUUUUUUUUUCCUACUUUCGUCAGAAGGUGUAAAUGCAGUGAUUAUACACGGAGAGAAAUCUGCUGCGAUUUGCGCAUGAGCAAGUCCAUAGGAAUAUAGCAUGGACACUUCCAAGCAAAAACUAUAAGAUUCCAUCUGAAUAUCAGGUGAGACUCAUACAAUAAUACCUCGCUCACUUAGGAUUUUUGCUUGAAAGCGUCUGUUACUAUAUUCCUAAGGACAUGCUCAUGCGUAAAUCGCACCAGAUUUCUCUCCGUGUAGUCAUGUAAUAAUUACACAGCCCCACAAAAAAAAAGUGUCAUGUACAGUAAAACGUACAAAUGCCUUCCACUUGAAGUUGCUGCUAGAAAAUGAAUAUUUGCGGUUAGUCUUGUAUUUUCGUACUCUUUGCCGACAGAUCUGCCAAAUGAUCAGGUGUCAUCAAUGGUCAUCACUAGAAAAGUUUGUUUUGAUCGGUUGGUUUUUUCGAUAGCGGCUUUUGUAAAUUCUUCAAUGUUUUAGAAAUAAUUCCGAGUGUUAAAAUAAUUAAAUGUGUUCGGGAAUUAAAUGUUAAAGUGAUUGAUAAAAGGAUUAUGCAAUCAAUUGCAGUUAUUAUACGAAAGACAGCAACUACGAACAGAGGAGACAUUAUAAAGAGGAAUUCAACAAUCUUUGUCCGGAAUAUAAACAAUUAUAAAAAUACGUUAACAGUAAAAGUCGAUAUUAUAAGUGGCAGCAGCAAUAUAAUAUAGUGAAAGCUCAGGGGAAUUUUCAAGAACUCAAGAUAAAAAUAAAAAUUUUUAAAGAUUACAAUAUGAAUAACGAUCCGGUCUUCAAGCAACGUAACACGAGACACGAUUAUUUGCAUGGAAAAUUGACUCACUUAAAGAAUUUGGUCGAAGAAUUUGAUACGAAGCAUUUCGGUGUUAAUGGUAACAAGACAAGAUUUUGAAGAAGAAAAAUAUUUGUUUAAUUGAAAAUUGUUGGAUAGAAAAUUAAUUUGGCUUAAUAUAUAAAAUAUGAAAAAAAUUUAAUAAACAUUAAUAGAUUUAAAGAAGUUAAUUUCAGAAAUAAAUAAAAAAAGAACAAUAAACGAAAUUAAACACAAGAAAAUAC